rnacentral:rRNA from 1 species
UACGGAGGAUCCGAGCGUUAUCCGGAUUUAUUGGGUUUAAAGGGUGCGCAGGCGGGAGAUUAAGUCGGCGGUGAAAUUUUGCAGCUCAACUGUAAAAGUGCCUUCGAAACUGGUUUCCUUGAGUGUAGAUGAAGUAGGUUGAAUUUGUGGUGUAGCGGUGAAAUGCAUAGAUAUCACGAGGAACUCCGAUUGCGCAGGCAGCUUACUAAACUACUACUGACGCUCAGGCACGAAGGCGUGGGGAUCAAACAGGAUUAGAUACCCUGGUA